UAUCAAGAUUAUACAUUCAGAACAUAGAGGUCAUACCAGGAAACAGCCACAGGCGCUAUUUUGAACCAGCUGUCUCCUGGCCAUGGUUUUACAAUAUGCAUUUUGUUCCAAGAAAAUCCUGAGAACUUUGAUUAGAGCAAAACUAAAAAGUUCUUUAUCUAGAGUCUUCAGAAAGUGCCAGAUCCUGCUCCAGUGAAAGUGAAUGUAAAACAAAAAUUCACCUUGACUUCAGUGAGAGGAGGAUUGGGACCUAAAGCUCUUGCAAGGUAUUGAAGAGGUGCGAAGGGGAAAAAAAAUCAGUCCUGGAAAUGAAUCCUCUGGAAAAGCCCACUAAAACUGGCUAGUGAUUAAACCAAUAUGGUUGCAUAGGAACUGAGAAAGGUUUAUAUAGUCUACACUCAAAACAGACCUGAUUCUCAUUUGCACUAUUGCCACUUUCUAUUGUUCUGGCAGCAUAAAUGAGCCUUAAAGAGAGCAUAAAUUACAUUUGUGCUCACUUUAUGGCCUCUUUAUACUGCUAACAGGCCCUUACUGUAAAUGAAAAUUUCAUGGAGAAUGAGAUCUUUCUAUAGACUGUUUCAGACCAUUUUAUAGAACUAUAACAGUGGGGUAUAAUUCUCCAUUGCAUUCUAUUGCCAAGCUUAAGAUCUUCAUUCUCUAUUAAAUUCGGUUGGACUUUUCCAGAAGGCUGGGGCCUGGUUAUUUAAUCCCUUAGUCAUGCAAGCAGUCCUCGGAACAUAUGUAAGCAGGGAUGUUGCAUGCAUAACACACAAAGCAUCAUCUUUACUCUGGGUUUGAGGUAUUUUGAUGUUGUGUUAUGCAAAUACUAAAGUUAUAAUAAGAACAACAAAAAAGGAACUGAGAUACACAGCAUACUACUUAGCAAAAUGUUGCAUUCUAAAACUGACCAUGAACCAAGGCAAUGACUGUUUCUUAUAAGCCAUAAAUCUCUGAGAUUUGCACAAUCCUCCUCCUCCUCCCGCUCCACUAGUACUAAAAUGAAACUAGACUUUGGAGGAAGGGGAACUGCCGCGAUUUGGCUUUACAUGACAGAUGAGGAACACAGUAGCUGAAAUGUACAGACAUUGUAAGCAAGCCCACUCUUUGACUGUGCCUUCACGUGAUCACCAUCUGAGCCUUGCCAGCUCCAUCUAGCUCUAUGUGGGCAGCUACUUGGAGCUUUGCCUAAAAGAGAGAGCUACAGAAGAGCUCUGGAAACGUAGUUAAGUACUAGGACUAACUUUUUCACCUACUGAGUCUGCUAAAUUGUAUAAUGUUUCCAUGGGGCUUCUAAAAUCGGAAACCAUUAUGUUUGUGUGUUAGAAGCCGUUAUGCAUAUAUUCUAUAUUUAAGUCUGGGAUGUCAGCUCCCCUUGAAAUUUUCAUACACUCCCUCCACACACCCACAUGUGCUUAUGUCUGGAAAAUGUUUUUAGAUAUUAGUAGAGUGUGUGGGUAGGGGGGUAUUCAAGGGAGACACUGAGGAACAACAGUAAAGCACUAUUUAAGCAUGAAGUUUAAAAACCUCCUUAAGGAGAUGGAACAGUAUUACCAGUAUGUACAUUGUGGCUUUCUAUAAUACUUAUACUAUAUAUAGAGAGAGAAAUAUUAUGUGUGGACCAGAUCAUCAGUUAGGGUAAAUCACCAUAACUCUGGUGAACUCUAGAAUCUGGCCUUGCAUGUUCCUAUAUCAUAAAUCAUGAGAGAACUCCAUGUUUCUACUCUGCUAAUCAAAGAUCUCUGACCAGUUAUAACAGGUUGGAACUGUAUAUUUAGCUAACUUUUGCUGACAUAAUUUUUACAAAGCUGUAUCUGUUACUAAUACAUGCUUACCUUAAUUAUAGCACCUGUAGCAAGUUAUUGGAAUUAUUAAUUGUGAAUUAUUAAUUGUGCCGAGUCUAUAGUUAUUACCAUAGCAUUUUUAUUUUUUCCCUACAAUUCCCAGUGAUCACUAACGUUUAUCCACGUGUACAAUUCAAAUCUGUAGUUUGAAAGCUGGGACUAUACAAAUAUAAACAAAAACAAAGGUUUGUAUUGAUGGGUGUGUGUGUGUGUGUGUGUGUGUGUAAUGUUAUGCCUUUGUCUGAAGAAACAGUUAAAAGAUUCAUUUAAAUGUAUUUCGGGUUGGGUUUUUUUUUAAAGGAGAUAUGUAUAAUGCAUAUUUCAUUUGUUAACAUAAUGCUUCUAUAUUCCAUGAAGCCAUCUACAUUUGAGCACAGCUAUUAAAGUGUGCUUAAAGUGAUUGACUGUGAUAGAGCAUGAGCUGAGAUGCAUCAAAACUCACAAAUUAGUGUCUACUUCAAAAACUGGAUUCUCAGCUGACAGGAGUUAAUGCUCAUUUGCACUCCAAUAUUCCUGCCACUGUCUCCAGGUUAGCACAUUGCAUAAAUGUUAGAAGGUUGGGUUGCUAAUGUGUAGACAAAUGGGAACAGAGAGUGAGCUGGGGGAAUAAUCUGCAGAAGAUGACUUGAAUACACACACAUCCUUCAGUCAGAUAUAUUAUGAAUGACAAGCACUGUGAUGACCUCAAAUUACUGGAUGUAUGGAGAAUGACACAGAUUAAGCCAGAGCUCAGCAGCAUUGAGGGCCCUAGUUAUAUUAGAAAUGGAAUAUUUUAGCAAGCCAGUUUUCAACUGAGCUUCACUCAGUUGUGCAAAGAGAAUCUUCUCUGAAAUGUUCCAAAGUUAAUAGAAUAGGGAUAUAACACAGGAUUUCUCUUUUGCCAGAAUUGUACCUAAAAGAAAUCUAUACUGGAUAUUUUUCCCCAUAGCCAGCUGCUCCUGGUGGAUACAGCCUGAAUGGGAUCAGUAGUGAGCUCUCCCUUAAAGAAGCCUGUCAGUUUGGGAUCCAGUUUUGCCUGGCAUAUAUACACAUGGCUCCCAUAGAUUUCACUGGGAGCUUUGCGGGGAAGAGAGACUUGACGUUUCCAUCUCUUCCUUUCUGGUCAUGUAAGUGAUGAUGUCCUGCAGUGUGCUGCAAAUCCUCAUUGAAAAAUAGCCAUGAUUCUGACGCUGGGCCAAAGUCAGCCCAUAAAGAUGUGUAUGCAACUCGUGUGGACUCAAAUUGGAGUUACAUGUAUGUAUAGAAAGGCUCUCCAGGUGUAUCUGGCACAUUAUGUUAAAAUCAACAGAAGACAAUAUUAAAAGGACAGUGCCAAGUACUUUUUGCCCCAGAUUUAGACCAUGUUAAAUAAUUGGGGGGGGGAGUUUAGUUGGGGGAAGAGUUACAAAACUUGAUGAGCCUUCAAUGAGAGUUGCAGAUGCUUGACACUUCUUGGGUAUAUGGCCCAAUGAUAGUGUAAGGGCCAGAUCCUCAACUGAUGCGACUCAGUCUAGCUCCAUUGACUUCAACAGAGCAAUACCAGUUUACUCCAACUGAAGAUCUGGCCCUAAUGAAAUGUUUCUAAAAAUGCUGCAGUGGAAAUAUUUUUAAAAUUAAUUUAAACAUUCUGCCCCCUGCACCCCAGUGCUGUGAAUCCAAACACAAGAGCUCUGGGCUAACAUAAAAGAACCAGCAACUGAAACAGACUGGAGAGUGAAACUGUCUGGUCUACUUUCACUAUCGAAGUCUAGUUGUUUAAAAAAAAAAAAGAAAGAAAGAAACAACAUACAUGGUUUAAAAAAAAAAGGAAUUUGUUUUUAAAGUAACUCAUUCAGUUUCAAUUACCUAAAGUGUUACUAAUAGCAGGGGGUCAGGAAUUUUAACCAGUUUACACUGGGCCAGAUUCUCAGCUGGUGUACCUCUGUGCAGUGCUGGUUAAGCUACACCAGCUGAGGAGUUGGCCGAUCCAUUUUAUUUAGCAAUGUCCUUUGGUAUUUUAACUGAAAUUAAGCUUUAUAAUCUAAUUUUGGUUGGUUGUGUCACAUUCAUAUGUAUCCUAUUUGUUAAGAUAGCUGUUUCCAGAUUUAGGUUCUUGUGUGCAAAAAAUAAAUAAAAAAUUAUGACUUCUGAUAGUAAAAGCUAUGCCUCCGAUUUAAAAAGACUUUUAUCUUUACUGCAUUUCUAAUAAAAACUUUUCAUUUGCUCCAA